UUUUCAAAUUAAUGUUGAAAAAAUAAUUUAUUCUAUUCUUAUCUGUUUUUCCAGACAAUAAAAUGCAACAUAGAACAUACUUGCAUAUUAGUAGUAAAAUUAACACAGCAACAAGAAAGACCAAAACUCUAUAAUCCACAACUGCAUAUAAGAAAGAUACAUUACUUGUAUUUAGAAAUUAGAAUUACUUCCCUAGUUCCCACCAAAAUGUUGGAUCCUGUUUUCACUGAGAUUAAGUUCUGCCAUUGCUUCGUCCAAUUCGCAACUACUCUCGACCAGCACAUGAGGAUCAUUAUAAUGCCUAACAGCCUG
rnacentral:misc_RNA from 1 species